ensembl:lncRNA
AGAGCAGCGUGCGCACCAACACCGCCCCCCCACCCUCCGUUCUACACCUUGGUUGGAGGAAAGAGAGAGAGAGCGAGAGAGAGAGCAAGGAGAAAGCCCAGCCCUGAGAGAGAAAGAGAGAAGGAGCGAGAGGGAGAGAGAGAGAGAGAGAGAGUGAGAGAGAUGCUCACUGGAUGAAACUCUGGCAUACAGCUACAGACCACGGGAAGAAGCGCACCGCAACUGUCUGCAGAUAAUUGCUUGAAGGAGAGAAGUCCGGGAAGGUCAGCCAAGAAGCUCGCGGCGGGCGGGAAAGUGAACUCUGCAGGACUACAAUUACCUGGCUGGCGUGAGGCGGCAGAACAGAGUGAAUGACAGCCUCCAGAAGAGAUGCACAGGUGUCCUUUCCCAGGUCCUCAGUUGGGGGGUAUGCUUGUUGUUUUACGACGAGCGGAGGAGGCAGAGUUCUGUGAGCCGGUUGGUGGCUUGGCUGCGUGUGACGGAGAGCUCUUCCGC